rnacentral:rRNA from 1 species
CCUACGGGAGGCAGCAGUGAGGAAUAUUGGACAAUGGGCGCAAGCCUGAUCCAGCCAUGCCGCGUGCAGGAUGACGGUCCUAUGGAUUGUAAACUGCUUUUGUACAGGAAGAAACACUGGUUCGUGAACCAGCUUGACGGUACUGUAAGAAUAAGGAUCGGCUAACUCCGUGCCAGCAGCCGCGGUAAUACGGAGGAUCCAAGCGUUAUCCGGAAUCAUUGGGUUUAAAGGGUCCGUAGGCGGUUUAAUAAGUCAGUGGUGAAAGCCCAUCGCUCAACGGUGGAACGGCCAUUGAUACUGUUAGACUUGAAUUAUUAGGAAGUAACUAGAAUAUGUAGUGUAGCGGUGAAAUGCUUAGAGAUUACAUGGAAUACCAAUUGCGAAGGCAGGUUACUACUAAUUGAUUGACGCUGAUGGACGAAAGCGUGGGUAGCGAACAGGAUUAGAUACCCUGGUAGUCCACGCCGUAAACGAUGGAUACUAGCUGUUGGAAGCAAUUUCAGUGGCUAAGCGAAAGUGAUAAGUAUCCCACCUGGGGAGUACGUUCGCAAGAAUGAAACUUAAAUGAAUUGACGG